UGGGAUUUUUAUCUUCAUCUUUAAACUUGUCCAUGGCAGCUAAAUGCACAGUACGAGCAUGCUCAUCCUCGUACCCCUCCCCACCACACCACAAAUAUGGCGUCUUCUUGAGUUUUAGUGGAGUUGACACUCGUAAAAAAUUUACUAGUCAGUUGUUAGUAGCUUUGGAACGAAAUGAUUUUCAAACAUUUAGAGACAACAAAAGGCUAGAGAGAGGAGAAGAUAUCGGGUUGGGAUUACUUGAAGUAGUUGAGGAUUCAAGGAUCUCUCUUGUUGUAUUCUCAAAAAGCUAUCUUACAUCAAGGUGGUGUCUUAAUGAACUCGAGAAAAUUAUGGAAUGCAAGAAGAAAUUGCAGCACAUUGUUCUGUCUAUUUUCUACAAGGUUGAGCCAUUAGACCUAUGGGUGCAGAAGGGAAACAUUGCAAGAGCAUUGGCUAGCCACAAAGAAAUAGAUUUCAAGAUUCAGAUUUGAACAGUUGCUUUAACUGAGGCUUCACACUUGGCUGGUUGGGUUAAAACAAAUAUGGGGGAAAGACUACCCAAUCGGAAUAAUGUCUCAUCUACGAAAGCUUACUACACUAUUGCACCUUGAGUCAUCAGAUAAUAUUCAUAUUAUUGCUAUAUGGGGAAUUGGUGGCAUAAGAAAGACAACAAUUGCAAAAUCUGCUUAUAAUAGUUUUCGUCGUCGAUUUGAAGGCAGUAGCUUUGUUGCAGAGUGUUUCUCGUUCGGUUGCAACAUUUGAUCUUGUUCAUUUUGAUGCGUAGGGACCUACUCCUAUUGCUACAAAAGAAGGGUCUAGAUAUUAUGUCUCUUUUAUUGAUGAUUAUUGUAGUUACUAUUGGGUUUAUCUUGUGAAACGACGCUCUGAUUUUCUUUCUAUCUAUCGUUCUUUUAGAGCACUUGUUAAAACUCAACAUUUUGUUGUGAUUAAGUGCUUUUGAUGUGACCAAGGGGGGGGGGAGUAUACUUCUGUUGAUUUUUUUGAAUUGGUUGCUUCUGAUGGGACAAUUCACCAAACUUCAUGUCUUAACACCCCACAAUAAAAUGGUGUUGUUGAAUGAAAGUACAGGCACAUUGUAGAAACUACUCGUUCUCUUCUCUUGUCUGUCAAAGUUCCUAGUGAAUUUUAAGGAGAAGUAGUUCUCAUCGAUGUUUCUUUAAUUAAUAAGAUUCCAUCUUCUCACACUUCGGGUUUGUCACCAUUUGAAACAUUGUUUGGACAUCCUCAUAAUUAUUCCUUAUUGAGAUUUUUUUGUUGUACUUGUUUUGUCCUUCGUCCUAAAGUAGAUCGUAGUAAGUUGACUUCAUGC